CCGUCACAGACUGGAGGAACAAGAAAACACCGUGGAACAGAAAGAGGAAGUUGCAGAAGAACCAAUCGUUAUGUGAAAUUAACUUAUCACAUACAAUUCUGUGGUCUUCCUCAUGAAGAUUCACACGAACAUCUGGCACAAUUUUCGGAAAUUUACAAAACAUUCAGGAUCCAGUUACGAAAUAGGACAAGGCAAAGGCUUCGCUACACUCAUAC
rnacentral:lncRNA from 1 species